UACGAAGGGGGCUAGCGUUGUUCGGAAUUACUGGGCGUAAAGGGCGCGUAGGCGGCCAUUCAAGUUAGGUGUGAAAGCCCUGGGCUCAACCUAGGAAUUGCACUUGAUACUGUUUGGCUUGAGUUCGGGAGAGGUGAGUGGAAUUCCCAGUGUAGAGGUGAAAUUCGUAGAUAUUGGGAAGAACACCAGUGGCGAAGGCGGCUCACUGGACCGACACUGACGCUGAGGCGCGAAAGCUAGGGGAGCAAACAGG
rnacentral:rRNA from 1 species